UGAUGGAGCUGCAGCAGGUCCUGGUGGCUGUAGGGCAGGGUGCCCUCUAGGGGUCUAACUGAUGGAGCUGCAGCCAGUCCUGGUGGCUAUAGGACAGGGUGUCCUCUAGGUGUCUACAUGAUGGAGCUGCAGCCAGUCCUGGUGGCUGUAGGUCAGGGUGUCCUCUAGGGGCCUACCUGAUGGAGCUGCAGCCAGUCCUGGUGGCUGUAGGGCAGGGUGUCCUCUAGGGGCCUACCUGAUGGAGCUGCAGCCAGUCCUGGUGGCUGUAGGUCAGGGUGUCCUCUAGGGGCCUACCUGAUAGAGCUGCAGCCAGUCCUGGUGGCUGUAGGUCAGGGUGUCCUCUAGGGGCCUACCUGAUGGAGCUGCAGCCAGUCCUGGUGGCUGUAGGGCAGGGUGUCCUCUAGGGGCCUACCUGAUGGAGCUGCAGCCAGUCCUGGUGGCUGUAGGUCAGGGUGUCCUCUAGGGGCCUACCUGAUGGAGCUGCAGCCAGUCCUGGUGGCUGUAGGUCAGGGUGUCCUCUAGGGGCCUACCUGAUGGAGCUGCAGCCAGUCCUGGUGGCUGUAGGGCAGGGUGUCCUCUAGGGGCCUACCUGAUGGAGCUGCAGCCAGUCCUGGUGGCUGUAGGGCAGGGUGUCCUCUAGGGGCCUACCUGAUGGAGCUGCAGCCAGUCCUGGUGGCUGUAGGGCAGGGUGUCCUCUAGGGGCCUACCUGAUGGAGCUGCAGCCAGUCCUGGUGGCUGUAGGGCAGGGUGUCCUCUAGGGGCCUACCUGAUGGAGCUGCAGCCAGUCCUGGUGGCUGUAGGGCAGGGUGUCCUCUAGGGGCCUACCUGAUGGAGCUGCAGCCAGUCCUGGUGGC